GAUGAACGCUAGCGGCAGGCUUAAUACAUGCAAGUCGAGGGGCAGCAUGACUGUAGCAAUACAGUUGAUGGCGACCGGCAAACGGGUGCGGAACACGUACAGAACCUUCCUUCGAGCGGGGAAUAGCCCAGAGAAAUUUGGAUUAAUACCCCAUAGUACAACGGAGUGGCAUCACUUUGUUGUUAAAGAUUUAUCACUUGAAGAUGGCUGUGCGGCUGAUUAGGUAGUUGGCGGGGUAACGGGCCCACCAAGCCUGCGAUCAGUAACUGGUGUGAGAGCACGACCAGUCACACGGGCACUGAGACACGGGCCCGACUCCUACGGGAGGCAGCAGUAAGGAAUAUUGGUCAAUGGACGAAAGUACUGAACCAGCCAUGCCGCGUGGAGGAUGAAGGUCCUCUGGAUUGUAAACUUCUUUUA
rnacentral:rRNA from 1 species